AUUAAUGUCUCCUCCCCUAUGAAGUUGGCAGUUGGAAAUCACAUAAUAAUAAUUCACCAGUAAGAACUUGACAAGAAACAGUCCAAAAAUAUGUUAAAUCCAUAAAUCUUGAACAUUGUCCUUCAAGUUCACAUGAAGCUCUUGCAUACGGAAGCAUAACAUGUGAGAAAGGGCACGGAGUUGCUGUAUAGCUUUGCUUAGCUCUGAUCUCCUCUUGCCUCCUGCCACUGUUCCCCUUGUGAAUUCCUGUCUAUUGGCUUCUCCUGGAACCUCUCCAUUUCUUUGCUAGUUUAUAAGACGGUCGGCUACUAGCUGAAAUAGAACAAGGGGGCUAAUCCCUCAUUCCAUUCACGUAGUACAUGGGUUUGCUAAGCAAAAAUUGCAUGCAACAAGCUUCUUCCUUGUUGGGUUUCUCGGUUUUCUCGCUUCUCUUUUGCCCUCUCUUUGCCCUUUCUUACGGUACUUUUCUCUCUCUCUCAUGCAUCUGGGGUUUUCAUUGUAACCCAAUUUUUGUUAGUGAUUAAUCAUUAAAUUACCGCAGAUGGGCCUUUAUACGACUACACUGCUUACACCGAGGUAAGACUUGGGACAUUAAUAUCUACAGUGAAGAUAUUAAUAUACUCUGAUGGUUGGACUGUGAUAGUUAAGCUAAUUAACAAAUUGGGUUUGCCUAUUUUGGGUUGGCAGUGUAAAGAAGUACCAGAAGAGCCACUCUAUAAUGGAGGGAUUCUCAAAGAUGAACUUCCAGUUUUCAAGCCUAUUAGCAUUAACGAAGCUUCAAUUAUAUAUACCACACCAGCUUUCAUCCUGCAUAAUCUAACUCCGGCAACCAUUUAUUGUUUUUCCAGUUAAGUUCUCAUUCUUUUUUCUCUUUUGCUUAGAAUCUGUUUUCUGACCGCAAAAACAUUAUCUUCAAUAUAUAUAUACAUAUAAUUGAAACUUCAGUGGCUUGGGUGCAAAACAGCCUGGGUCAAAAUUCAAGGCGCAGAGUCCAGCCUCGUAACUGCGAGCCUAACCACAGAUAAUGGUACAUACAAUUGUGUGGGAACUGUUUUGGCUCAGAGUGGUUGCUGGUCGUUUCUCAAAGGUGGAUUCAUUCUUGAUGCACCUUCAAAUUUAUCAAUUCUGUACUUUCAGGUACUUUUUUCUUUUGCUCAACGUUUUCUUGUACACAUUGUUCACAAUCCAGGCAAUUAAGGAUGGGUUUGAUGCAGAGACAUGUUUUGACCCUUUUUUAUUUUGAGUUAUGCAGAACUCAGCUCAUAGAAAUAUCGAAAUUGCAAUUGCAAUUGCAAGUGCUUCACUGCAACCAUUUACCUAUCAGCAAUGGAGUACAAACCAGCAAUAUAUAAUUAACACUGUAAAUACUGGUAACUCUUUAGUUUUCUUGCUCUGUUUGAAAACUUACAUGCUGCUAUUACAAUCCCAAUUAGUCUUAAUAUUCUUAGUUGCUGUUGGUGUCUUUUAUAAUGCCUGAUGGUCCAUCCCAAUUCCACAUGAUUCCUAAUUUGUUUUGGGUUUGGAAUUAGUAGCGUUGGUUUAUUGCUAGUUUGAUUUGAUUUUAUAAAUUGUCCUUAACAGGACAGAAAAUUAUUUGCAUUUUUCUACGUAAGGUAGUCAUUUACAUAAUUCCAGGCAAGGAAGCGAGCUGUAACAAUCCAUGUAUCAGAUCGUCAUGGAAAUAGGUUGCAAGGAGCAGCCAUUACAAUAGAGCAAAUCUCAAAAGAUUUCCCACUUGGUUCAGCCAUAGCAAGAACAAUUCUUGGGAAUUUGCCCUAUCAGAAUUGGUUUGUGGAGCGAUUCAAUGCAGCAGUCUUUGAAAAUGAACUCAAGUGGUAUGCCACUGAGCCUGAACAAGGAAAGGUCAAUUACACCAUACCAGACCAAAUGUUAGACCUUAUUCGAGCUAAUCAAAUCGUUGUUAGAGGACACAAUAUAUUCUGGGAAGAUCCCAGGUACACACCAACAUGGGUUCACAAUCUUUCAAGUGCUGCACUAAAAUCAGCAGUCAAUUCAAGAAUCCAGAGCCUAAUGAGCAAAUACAAAGAAGAAUUCAUACACUGGGAUGUUAGCAAUGAAAUGCUACAUUUUGAUUUCUAUGAGCAACGUCUUGGUCUUGAUGCCACUUUACACUUCUAUGAGACAGCACAUAUAGCAGAUCCAUUAGCAACCUUGUUUAUGAAUGAAUUCAAUGUGGUGGAAACUUGCAGUGAUGUGAAUUCUACUGUAGACACCUAUAUUUCAAGGCUAAGAGAACUUGAACGUGGAGGAAUUUUCAUGGAUGGAAUUGGACUAGAGAGUCACUUUUCAGUACCAAAUCUUCCUCUAGUGAGAGGUAUUCUAGACAAACUGGCUACACUUGGACUUCCCAUUUGGCUUACAGAAGUUGAUAUUAGCAGCAAAUUCGAUUACAAAACUCAGGCUAUUUAUCUAGAACAAGUGCUAAGAGAAGGCUUCUCUCAUCCUGCUGUGAAUGGGAUAAUCCUGUGGACUGCACUCCAUCCUAAUGGGUGUUACCAAAUGUGUCUUACAGAUAAUAAUCUUCAAAACCUACCAGCAGGAGAUGUGGUAGACAAGCUAUUACAGGAAUGGAAAACUGAGCAGCAAAAUGGCCAUACAGAUGACCAUGGUUCAUAUAGCUUCUAUGGGUACCUAGGCGAACAUAGAGUCAGUGUUGCAUAUGGCAACAGAACAGCAAGUUCAACAUUCUCACUCUUCAGAAGUGAAGAAACUAAGCAUUUCAACAUUCAGUUGUAACCCAUGUAGCAAUUAUAACAUAUUGGUCUUAUAAGUUGCAGCAUUGUAGCAGCGAUUGAAAUUCUUGCAUGUUCCAGUAUGCAAUGAGUAUCCAAAUUUGAUGUGGUCUCUGUUAACAAAUAUCAAUCUAUCUACAUCAAACACUUUAUAUUCGAUAUUUGUUUAAAGGGAAGCAAACAGGCAGGGGAUUGGCUUGCGAAAGUAGAGUAUUGCAUUUGUUUCAGGGAACUCAACAUUUUCUGUUGAAAAGCUGAGGACUUUUAGCCCUGAUGAAUUGUGGUCCUGCCAGAGUCCUUUUUGUAUAAUGAAGAAAAUAAGGACUCAAAAUGGACAACUUAAUAGUAUUAGAGAUGACUUUAAUACACUAAGUAUACACCUCAUUGGCG
rnacentral:misc_RNA from 1 species